rnacentral:rRNA from 1 species
UACGGAGGGUGCGAGCGUUGCUCGGAAUUAUUGGGCGUAAAGCGUACGCAGGCGGCACUGUAAGUCGGGUGUGAAAGCCCGGGGCUCAACCCCGGAAAUGCGCCUGAAACUGCAGCGCUUGAGUGCGGGAGAGGGAAGCGGAAUCCGUGGUGUAGAGGUGAAAUUCGUAGAUAUCACAGGGAACACCGGUGGCGAAAGCGGCUUCCUGGCCCGAUACUGACGCUCAUGUACGAAAGCGUGGGGAGCAAACAGG